rnacentral:lncRNA from 1 species
CUGAAUAAUACAGUUGGUUUGCUUUGUUUGAUACAACCGCAAUGAAUGCCGGGAAAAGCCCGCGAAUUCAAAUGAAACAAUGAACAGAGAGGCAGAGAAAUCCGUGUAUGGUUCGUUCAUUGAAUAUACAUCCGUCAAUGUUUGGAUUGUGUAAUAAUAAUUUGCAUUGUAUCUUUGAAUAAUGGCUAGCCUAGCGAUCAUCUACGUUCAAUGUUCAUCUAUGUUCAGUUCUUUCUUUGCCGUUGGGCUCACGAGCCGAUCAGUUGAUCGGAACAGCGAAUGUUUGGGAACUGUAGUUCUCUAGUAGUUAAGCGGAACUGGCGGCCGUUUAAUUCAAAAUACAUUUCCCUACAUGCAUCGCGUUGAGCUCAUGAGCCGAACAGCUGAUUUGAGAAGGAGAUGAAAGAUCUAGUGAAACGGAAGGUUUAAUUGUAGUGUUUAUUAUUUUCAACAGAAUAAUGACUGGCAUUCGUAGGUCCCCGGCGGACUUUGCAUCGUCCGGUCAUCCGGAUACGAUUGCUUUGAGGGAUCUGGCCUCCAAGAACUAUCACAUUUGUGUAGAUGACGUCUACACAAAAGAGCAGAAGAUGGAGCACGCCUACACGUUUGGGGUGCUGGUCUGCGACCAGACCAUACGAUACACCGAGAAGGCGAAGCACACCGAGAAUGUGCACAGGCAGCAGCUGGAGUGCCUACGGAGGGAGAACGAACGACUUGGACAGGAUCUCAGGACAUCCCAGGCCAGCUUGUCUGUUACGCAAACAGAUCUGGACGCCACACAGAACGGUAAAAAUGAAGGCAGAUUACCAACCAAAACAACUUAAUUACAUGUGAAGGCAGAUUACCAACCAAAACAACUUAAUUACAUGAAUGCCUUCAGCCAACUCCCAACUACAGAACUCAGACUAACAGACAUAUUUAUAUUAUGCUUAUGUGUUUUAAUUUGGUUGGAGAUUUCAAGGCUUAUGAUUUCACCCACUAUAUUUAUCAACUCAUUUAUUAACCUAGCUUACAUAAUGUGCAUCCCAAUCCAAAUGACGAUUACAAAUGGAACAUUAACAUGACUCUCAUUCCUAUCUAGAACUCGAUGACCUCCGCUGCACGAACGCCUCCCAAGGUAUGACAAUACUUAAUAUUGAUAAACGGCCAUAAUUAUAUUAUGGCUAUGUGAUUUAAUUUGGUUAGAGAUCAAUCCAAAUUACUAAUUAAUAACGUUUGUUUUAAUUCCUAUCUAGAACUGGACUACCUGGACAGCAUGACCGCCUCCCAAGGUAUGACGAUGGACAGCAUGACCGCCUCCCAAGGUAUGAAGAUACAUGGUGUUAAUAUGAAUUUGACAUCAGAUACUGAUUCCUCCCAAUAUGUAUUUGAUUUGUCAUGUAUAACACCUAUUAGCCAAAUGUGAAAAAUAAUGGAAACGAUCUUUCCUCCCAUCAGAUACUGAUUCGUCCCAUCCAUUGUGUUCGACGAUGGUCGAUGACAUGGACGAGAACGGGAACGGAGGUACACCAUCUUUCAAAUGACUUGUGGUUAUAAAAAUACAUGCAUGCUUUAUGUCCAUGUGCUCGGAAAACUGAUACUUUUUUCUUUACAUUUUGCAGAUCCACUACCAGGCCCCUGAAAAAAUACUACCAGGCCCCUGUAAAGUAGUGUAGUUUGAUAUUGUAAAUAGUGUUUUUUUUUUAAUAUAGUGUGACAUUGUAAAUAGUGUGCUUUUUUUUAAACUUCAAUAAAAACUCAAACAUAGUGUGACAUUGUAAAUAGUGUGC